AUUUAUAUAGUAUAUUAGUAUAUUUGACUUCCAAUCAUAAGGUCUAUAAUUUAGUGUAAAUA
rnacentral:tRNA from 1 species